CUUUCGUACAAACUGCAUUAAAGUGAAACCGCAAAAGGCUCAGUAAACCAGUCAUGAUUUACGUGAGUAAACGUGACUGUCUUUGGAUAACUGUGGUAAUCCUAGAGCUAAUACAUGCAAUCAAGUCCCGACCAGUUCCACUGGGAAGGACGCUUUUAUUAGAUCAAGACCAAUCGCCCGGCUUCGGUCGGGCGUUUCCUUGGUGACUCUAGGUAACACAUCAGAUCGCACGGUCUCGCACCGGCGACUCAUCCUUCAAAUGCCUGACUUAUCAACUGACGAUGGUAGACUCCAUGUCUACCAUGGUGAUAACGGGUAACGGGGAAUCAGGGUUCGAUUCCGGAGAGGGAGCCUGAGAAACGGCUACCACAUCCAAGGAAGGCAGCAGGCACGCAAAUUACCCACUCCCGGCACGGGGAGGUAGUGACAAAAAAUAACGAUACGGGACUCAAUUGAGGCCCCGUAAUCGGAAUGAGUACACUUUAAAUCCUUUAACAAGGAUCCAUUGGAGGGCAAGUCAGGUGCCAGCAGCCGCGGUAAUUCCUGCUCCAAUAGCGUAUAUUAAAGUUGUUGCGGUUAAAAAGCUCGUAGUUGGUUCUGCGUGCCACGCUGUCGGUUCGCCGCCUGCCGGUGCUACUGGCAUGUCGUGGCAUGUCCUGUCGGUGGGUGUUCGGGGCCCCGUGCGGGCGGCAGGAGGCCGGGUGCAAACUCGUGCUCCUCCCUGCACGUCGGCGGGUUCACUCCGGCUCCCUACUAUCCUACCUAGGUGCUCUUUACCGAGUGUCGAGGUAGGCCGACACGUUUACUUUGAACAAAUCAGAGUGCUUAAAGCAGGCUGAAAAAUUCUGCCUGAAUGAUGGCGCAUGGAAUAAUAAAACAGGACCUUGGUUCUAUUUUGUUGGUUCUUAGGAACACAAGGUAAUGAUCAAUAAGGACAG
rnacentral:rRNA from 1 species